rnacentral:rRNA from 1 species
AAGUAUAUGCAUAUUUUAUAUGUAGAAACUGCGAACGGCUCAUUAAAACAGUUAUAAUCUACUUGACAUUUUCUAUAUAAGGAUAACUACGGAAAAGCUGUAGCUAAUACUUGCUUUAGCACUCUUGAUUUAUUUCUUGAGUGUGUACUUGUUAAGCCUUAUAAGAAAAGAGUUAUUAACUUAAGGAAUUAUAACAAAGAAGUAACACGUAAUGGAUUCUUCCAUUUUUAGUGUGUAUCAAUCGAGUUUCUGACCUAUCAGCUUUUGAUGUUAGGGUAUUGGCCUAACAUGGCUAUGACGGGUAACGGGGAAUUAGAGUUCGAUUCCGGAGAGGGAGCCUGAGAAAUAGCUACCACAUCUAAGGAAGGCAGCAGGCGCGUAAAUUACCCAAUUCUAAAGAAGAGAGGUAGUGACAAGAAAUAACAAUACAAGGCCAAUCUGGCUUUGUAAUUGGAAUGAUGGGAAUUUAAAACCUUCCCAAAAUUCAAUUGGAGGGCAAGUCUGGUGCCAGCAGCCGCGGUAAUUCCAGCUCCAAUAGCGUAUAUUAAAAUUGUUGCAGUUAAAACGCUCGUAGUUGAAUUUCAAAGAACCUAUAUUUUAAUGAUGCUGUUAGCGAGAGCCACAAAAAAGCGAAUUCCAAUAUAUGUUUUCUGCUUUAUGUGCGCAUCCUCUACCUAUUAAGUGUUAAUUAAAUUAAAGGGUUUCUUUUUAAAAUCUUCUAUAACUAAUAAAAAAAUAUGGAAGAUUUUGUUACUUUGAGUAAAUUAGAGUGUUCAAAGCAAACAGAUAUAUAGCAUUUGUGCGUUUGAAUACUACAGCAUGGAAUAACAAAAUUGAACAGGUCAAAACUAUGUUUCUUUUUUUUUAUUUUUGGCUUAGUUACGAUUAAUAGGAGUAGUUUGGGGACAUUUGUAUUCAGAUGUCAGAGGUGAAAUUCUAAGAUUUUCUGGAGACAAACAACUGCGAAGGCAUUUGUCUAAAAUACUUCCAUUAAUCAAGAACGAAAGUUAAGGGAGUGAAGACGAUCAGAUACCGUCGUAAUCUUAACCAUAAACUAUACCGACUAGGUUUUGGAUGAAAGUAAAACAAAUAAGGAUAGUCUCUUCGGGGAUAGUUCUUAGAUUUCUUCCUUCAGUACCUUAUGAGAAAUCAAAGUCUUUGGGUUCUGGGGCGAGUAUUCGCGCAAGCGAGAAAGUUAAAAGAAUUGACGGAAGGGCACCACCAGGCGUGGAGCUUGCGGCUUAAUUUGACUCAACACGGGAAAACUCACUAGUUUAAGACAAGAGUAGGAUUGACAGAUUAAUAGCUCUUUCUUGAUUUCUUGGAUGGUGAUGCAUGGCCGUUUUUAGUUCGUGAAUAUGAUUUGUCUGGUUAAUUCCGAUAACGAACGAGAUCUUAACCUGCUAAUUAGCGGCAAAUACGAUAUAUUCUUAUGUAGAAUUGAAUAUAGUGGAUUUGUUGGAUUUUGAAGAAAAUAUUGGAAUUACGUUUAAAUGUGAUUCCUUUCCCUUUUCUACUUAAUUUACAUUUCCAUCUAUUUCUUUUUUGCGUAUGAAUGUAUUUGCUUGAUUGUAAAGCUUCUUAGAGGAACGAUGUGUGUCUAACACAAG